GACUCGAUACUUUAAAUUAAAAGACUUGAUUUGCAUUCAGGGAAUAAGCUGCUGUUGCUUUUGGGUCA
rnacentral:tRNA from 1 species